UGAUGGAGUAGAAGCGGUUAGCAGCCUUGUGCUGCGGGACAUUGCUCCGCAU
rnacentral:ncRNA from 1 species